rnacentral:misc_RNA from 1 species
GUUUGCGUGCGCAGUUACCGACUUGCCUCACUUAUUUAAGAAUUUUAAUAAUCUUGUCAUGUUUACACUAUUUACUCUAUAUAUACGAAUAUUUGACAAAUAAACUGUAUUGCGAUUUAAAUGAGGAUUAUUCAUCUCUAGAAAAAGGGUGCUCAUCUGGGAUUAUAUUUCGGAAUCAGAUAGAUGUCGCACUGAUCUGGACAUUAUAGAGACUCACUGAGAUUAGAACUACAGGAUACAACUUUAGCGUGUAUGGUUAACAGGAUUUGGCUGAAAGAAGCAUGAGGAAGGAUGUUAGAAUUCUGCUUGUUGGCGAAGAUGGUGUAGGGAAGACAUCACUGAUCUUGUCCCUGGUCAGCGAGGAGUUUCCAGAGGAGGUACCUUUUAAGGCAGAGGAGAUAACAAUCCCAGCAGAUGUUACUCCAGAGAAAGUACCAACACACAUUGUUGACUUCUCAACACAAGAGCAAAGCCAUGAGGAGCUGGUUCAUGAGAUCAACAGAUCUGACGUCAUAUGUGUGGUGUAUUCAGUAGAUGUUCCAGAAUCUAUAGAAAGGAUAUCAACAUAUUGGUUGCCAGAGAUACGCAAGACAGUAGGCCUAGAGAACAGAAAGCCAGUUAUUCUAGUAGGAAACAAGUCUGACACAUAUGAUAACAGCUCUAUGGAGGUGAUAUUACCAAUUAUGAAUGCCUGGCAAGAGGUGGAAACUUGUGUUGAGUGCAGUGCCAAAACUCUGAAGAACAUUAGUGAGCUUUUCUACUAUGCGCAGAAAGCUGUCCUCCAUCCAACAGCUCCUCUUUAUAAUUCAGAAGACAAAGAGCUAAAACUCAAUUGUAAAAGAGCACUAACAAGAAUUUUUAAGAUUUGUGAUGGUGAUAAUGAUGGUCUACUGAGUGAUAUAGAAUUGAACCAGUUCCAGCGAAGGUGUUUCAAUGCCCCCCUACAACCCCAGGCCCUGGAUGAUGUGAAGGCCGUAGUAAGGAAAAACACUGCUGAGGGAAUUAGAAAUGAUUCACUUACACUGAAAGGUUUCCUGUUCCUCCACACUUUAUUUAUCCAGAGAGGGCGCCAUGAAACAACAUGGACAGUGCUACGGCGGUUUGGUUAUAGUGAUGACUUGACAUUAUCUAAAGAAUAUCUACACCCUCCACUAAAGGUAGGAACUGGUCGUAGCUGUGAACUGACAGCCCAAGGUGUUCAAUAUCUCACACAACUGUUCCAUAAAUAUGACUUAGAUAACGAUGGUGCCCUCUCACCCACUGAACUCCGAGAUCUAUUCAGUACAGCUACUAUAAUGCCCUGGGGUUCUGACGUCAACAACACUGUACUAACUAAUGCUAAUGGAUGGAUCACUCUAUCUGGUUACCUCGCUCAAUGGGUAUUUAGCACUUAUACACAAGUCCAUAGUACAUUAGAGUAUUUAGCGCAAUUGGGCUAUAUGUAUGAACAUGAAAGUCAGCUAUCAGCCGUACACAUAACCAGGGAUAAAAAAACAGAUUUGGCUAAAAAGCAGACUGCAAGAACGGUGUUCCAAUGUAAUGUGAUUGGAAGCAAAGGGGCCGGAAAGAGUGCAUUUUUACAAGGUUUACUCGGGAGGAAUUUGAAGUAUGUUGCUACACUGAACUCCAGCUCUCUUCCAGCAUAUAGCAUUAAUACAGUACCAGUUUAUGGCCAGGAAAAAUACAUAGUCCUUCAUGAAGUUGAUACCAGUCAAGUAGAACAAAUGUCAUCUGAUGACCUAUGUAAAUGUGAUGUCAUAUGUCUCAUGUAUGACAUCACAAAUAGAACAUCUUUACAAACCAUCAGUAGACUAUACCAAAAACAUUUCGCUGAGUCCAGAGUACCGUGCCUCCUAGUAGCUUCAAAGACUGACCAGCCAUCAGUACCACAGGACAGCGAGUUAACAGCCACCCAAUUUUGUUCACGGAACCACUUACCCCCACUGCAACAAUUCACUUGCGUCGAUAGAAUAAAUAGAGAUAUCUAUAUUAAAUUAGCAACAAUGGCUGCUUAUCCCAACUUGAAGAGGCUGGUACAUAUGCUGAUGAUCAGGAAAACCCCACAAUGGUUUCAAGAUAAAAUCAGUAAACUCAGUAUGGGAGACAGUGAAGGCAAUAUGGUAAAGCUUACUGUUGGCUUAGCCCUAGGAGCCGUACUCGGCUUUCUCGUUUACAAAUAUGUGGCCAACAAGAGGUGAGGCACACAAGGAGGAAGAGCCAAGGCUAGGAUUAUCAAAUUAUAGAUAGCUAUGUAUAAGAAGGAAUGAGUGCUACCCACCCAUGUAUCUAGGACUUCAACAAAGCGUAUCAUGAUACCAGUGGCAACCCAACAAUAUCAAGCAGAAAACCUCAUCUUGAAUUGUGGACAUUUUGAAUCAUAGUCACUAAUAAGGACACAGGACCUGCUUGGCUGUCCAAUCUCGAUUUCAGAUAUACAUGUAUUAUAUUUGAGUGCUACACAUCUGAUCAUCUGGGAUAUUCAGCCAAGCAAACCAUAUUAACUUCCUUAAGAAAAUUGAGCAUCACUGAAUCCUGACAGAAAUUUGAAACGUUUGUACGGUAUUUUGGAGCAUCUAGGGCAUUGAAUUUAAUUAAGAUUUGAUUUUCAUGUACAUGUUUUAUAUCAAUGGAUAUACAAGUGUAAUAGCUCUAACAGCAUGCUUUGAAGUUAACCUUUCAUGCAUGAUCUUUCUCCUGUGCAUUGUUCAAGAUGGGCAUGUAUUGAUGGAGGAAUCUUAUUGGUCCAAUUCAAACAGGAGAAUGUGCAUGUAUUUCUAUAUAUGGCUUGCUUCUGUUAAAGCGAAUACCACAGUAAUGGUGUAAUGUUGGAAUUCUGAGUUGUCAGGUUGAAACAUUGUACUAUGUAAGUUGAACCAUGGGCUUUCAAGAGACUUGAAAGUCCACAGUUGAAGAACACACCCUCUGUAAAUUGACCACCCAACGCAGACCAUAGUGUUGCAUUCAGCCACUUGUCUGUUUCUUUACCCAUAUUAGAAUAUUGAAGUUGUUAAUCUGUUGUUGAAGAAGGGUACACGGGGGUUUGAUGCAAGACUAAGAAUGCUCUUCUUGUCUUUUCCAUAAUCUGAUAUGGAUUUAUUUCUGUUAAUUGAUUUCAUGAUUGAGACUUGUCAAGUGAAAAUAACUCUCCACAUCUCUGUGGUGUACAACUGUAAGUUAUAUCCGUAGUUGUAAAGAGGCUCUUAUGAUGAUUUGCAUGCAUAGAAUAUUAUUAUAUUUAUUUAUCAUUGUUUACCAACCAUACCAUAUAAGUAUUUCAAUUGCAAGAGCAUAAAGUUAUAAUAUCCAUUGAUCCUUGAACCUGAAUUUUUAUUUUGGGUAUUUAACAUGUCUAAAGGCACAUAUUUUUAUCCAAAAUUUGAAUGUGUUUGAGGUGCAUGAGCCAGGUUUGUAAAAUGUUGUUUCGUCAAAAAAGGGCAGAACAUACGCUUAUGUCCUGGCAGACCUGUGGCAGAAAGAAAAUAUUACUCUUACAUUAUAUGAUUUUAAACAUUUUCUGAGAAUUUUUAGAAAUGUCAGCUGUUCUUGAAAUGUAUGUACAGAGAACACAUUGGGGUAUUGGAUAACAGAUUAUCCUGUGUAUUGGGUCCUCUGUAUUAGGGUUAUCCUUUGGCCAAUAUAAUUUGUGCUCACAGCAUUUGGCCACAGGAUAAUCCCGACCUCGAUCCUUAUUUAUAGGAGAAUAAAUAGGUCUGUUCUUGCUACUAAAGACUUUAAUCUCAAUUUUAAAGGCCCUGUACUUCAAAAAUAAGAAACUUCCAAAUUCUUCUGAUCAUCUUGCAAUUAAAGCACUUCAAUGAACCUUGCUAUUAACUGUGAUAAAAGUGAUAUUUCUCAUGUUUGAGACUGAUCUCUGUCUCCACGGACCAACAUUUUCAGUAUUUUGCAAGGUUUGUUUUAUCAAAGUAGCUUAAUAUAACCAUAUCAUGUACAUUUCCAUGUUUCACAAUUCCAUGUUUCUUUGUUAUUGCAUGUGAAAACUGAGUGAAGAUGUUUGAUCCAAUACAAAAGUACCUGAAAUGCAUACAUUCAACAGUAAUUUCAGUCCCAAUUACUGGGUCGAAAAUGUAUACGGUUAAAACUAGAACAUGGCACCUUCUAUGUACCUUCAGGUAUGUUUUAGUAGUCCCAACAUUUACAUGUGUGAUUAUGUAAAGCAGUGUUGGAAAUUUUAUGACAAAAAUUGCAAAUAAAAUGUGAUAACUACUA